GAUAAUCUUCAGGGCAGGGUGACUAAGAAAUUAGGAUUCCCGACCGGCGGUAAAGCCCGCGAGCCGUAAUGGCAGAUUCGGUGUAACUCCGAAGCCGACAGUACAGUCUGGAUGGAAGAAGAUGACU
rnacentral:ncRNA from 2 species